UACGGAGGGUGCAAGCGUUGUUCGGAAUUACUGGGCGUAAAGCGCGUGUAGGCGGCCUUUUAAGUCUGAUGUGAAAGCCCGGGGCUCACCCCCGGAAGUGCAUCGGAUACUGGGAGGCUCGAGUACCGGAGAGGAGGGUGGAAUUCCUGGUGUAGCGGUGAAAUGCGUAGAUAUCAGGAGGAACACCGGUGGCGAAGGCGGCCCUCUGGACGGAUACUGACGCUGAGACGCGAAAGCGUGGGGAGCAAACAGG
rnacentral:rRNA from 1 species